rnacentral:lncRNA from 1 species
AGAAACUAGAAUGACUUGUCAUUUCUUUCAUCUUACAGAUGAGAAAACCAAGACAAAGUUGUGAUUUGUCCAGGGUUACAUUACUAAUAAGUGUCUAAGGUCAGAUUUUAACUCAGAAGAUAAGGAAAAUGAGGCCCAGAAAGGUUGUGAUUUAUCAAAGAUCACACCAUGAUCAUAUUGGAUUUAUGCUUGCCCAUCCUGUGUGACUCUUGUUCAAGUCUUUCUAUAAGUUUUCUACAAAGAUUCCACUCAAUGAAAUGGAAGACAUUCUUGUUCUUUCUUGAAAGGACACCAAUGGAGCACAAAGGUGACUGUCCUUCAUUUGUCCUUUAUCCUUGUCAGGUGACCAGCCUGAUUUUGAGCAGGGUCUUCCCUCAACUUACAGGUCCCAGAGCAGACUUUGAGAACUGGAUCACCCCAUACUUUGAAGAAUGUAGGAACUCUUCCAAGUGAGGAAACUCAGGUUGUCAUGAUCAAAGAACUUAUCACCUCAGGAAUAACCUAUUAUGAGCACCUCUAUACUUGGGUGGGUCCUUAGCAGCUGACAUCUAUCUUUGAAAUUAUACUGAAAGCCUGAUGUUUGGGUGGAAACUGCCUCUACUCCAGGUCAUACCACCAUGAAGCACUGGAAGAAAAUUUUUGUGCUUUUAUUACAUGUAAAUUAGAAAAAUGAAUAGGCUAAAUUAAAAAUAUAAAUAUUGUUCAUUUGCAUUGGAAACUGGCAGGAUGAAUGAAUAGCUGUUAGGAAAAAAACAAACUUGAUUUAUUAAUCACCUGGAUAUAAAGUCAAAGGAUAAGGAAGCCACAAUUGGCACCAAGAUUGUGUGUAUGAGAGGGAAAAUAAUAGGGUUUACAGAAAUCACUGGUAAACUGAGCACCAAGGAGAGGUAAGAGGGAUCUUUCUGGAAAAAUUUAAUGUCUCCUCCUGAAGUUAUUAUAGACUUACUAGCACUGUAAUACUAAGUUGUAAUAAAUUGUACACAACGAAAAGAAAAUACUUUUUA